rnacentral:rRNA from 1 species
CCUACGGGAGGCAGCAGUGAGGAAUAUUGGUCAAUGGACGCAAGUCUGAACCAGCCAAGUAGCGUGCAGGAUGACGGCCCUCCGGGUUGUAAACUGCUUUUAGUUGGGAAUAAAAUGGGGCUCGUGAGCCUCGUAUUGUAUGUACCAUCAGAAAAAGGACCGGCUAAUUCCGUGCCAGCAGCCGCGGUAAUACGGAAGGUCCGGGCGUUAUCCGGAUUUAUUGGGUUUAAAGGGAGCGUAGGCCGGCUUUUAAGUCAGCUGGGAAAGUGCGCGGCUCAACCGUGGAAUUGCAGUUGAAACUGGAGGCCUUGAGUGCACACAGGGAUGCCGGAAUUCAUGGUGUAGCGGUGAAAUGCUGAGAUAUCAUGAAGAACUCCGAGCGCGAAGGCAAGUGUCCGGGGUGCAACUGACGCUGAGGCUCGAAAGUGCGGGUAUCAAACAGGAUUAGAUACCCGGGUAGUC